UACGUAGGAGGCAAGCGUUGUCCGGAGUUACUGGGCGUAAAGCGCACGCAGGCGGUUCAGUCAGUCUGUAGGGACAGGGCACGGCUCAACCGUGUCAGGCUUACGGAAACUGCUGAACUUGAGGGCUUCAGAGGGACACGGAAUUCCGGGUGGAGUGGUGAAAUGCGUAGAGAUCCGGAGGAACACCAAAGGCGAAGGCAGUGUCCUGGGGAGUACCUGACGCUCAGGUGCGAAAGCCAGGGGAGCGAACGGG
rnacentral:rRNA from 1 species